rnacentral:rRNA from 1 species
AGAGCUCGUAGGCGGUUUGUCGCGUCUGCUGUGAAAGCCCGGGGCUAACCCGGGUCUGCAGUGGGUACGGGCAGACUAGAGUGCAGUAGGGGAGACUGGAAUUCCUGGUGUAGCGGUGAAAUGCGCAGAUAUCAGGAGGAACACCGAUGGCGAAGGCAGGUCUCUGGGCUGUUACUGACGCUGAGGAGCGAAAGCAUGGGGAGCGAACAGGAUUAGAUACCCUGGUAGUCCAUGCCGUAAACGUUGGGCACUAGGUGUGGGGGACAUUCCACGUUUUCCGCGCCGUAGCUAACGCAUUAAGUGCCCCGCCUGGGGAGUACGGCCGCAAGGCUAAAACUCAAAGGAAUUGACGGGGGCCCGCACAAGCGGCGGAGCAUGCGGAUUAAUUCGAUGCAACGCGAAGAACCUUACCAAGGCUUGACAUUCACCGGACCGCCCCAGAGAUGGGGUUUCCCUUCGGGGCUGGUGGACAGGUGGUGCAUGGUUGUCGUCAGCUCGUGUCGUGAGAUGUUGGGUUAAGUCCCGCAACGAGCGCAACCCUCGUUCUAUGUUGCCAGCACGUGAUGGUGGGGACUCAUAGGAGACUGCCGGGGUCAACUCGGAGGAAGGUGGGGAUGACGUCAAAUCAUCAUGCCCCUUAUGUCUUGGGCUUCACGCAUGCUACAAUGGCCGGUACAAAGGGUUGCGAUACUGUGAGGUGAAGCUAAUCCCAAAAAGCCGGUCUCAGUUCGGAUUGAGGUCUGC